rnacentral:rRNA from 1 species
AUUGAACGCUGGCGGAAUGCUUUACACAUGCAAGUCGAACGGCAGCACGGACUUCGGUCUGGUGGCGAGUGGCGAACGGGUGAGUAAUGUAUCGGAACGUGCCCAGUCGUUGGGGAUAACGUAGUGAAAAUUACGCUAAUACCGCCUACGAUCUGUGGAUGAAAGCGGGGGAUCGCAAGACCUCGCGCGAUUCGAGCGGCCGACAUCAGAUUAGGUAGUUGGUGAGGUAAAGGCCCACCAAGCCAACGAUCUGUAGCUGGUCUGAGAGGACGACCAGCCACACUGGAACUGAGACACGGUCCAGACUCCGACGGGAGGCAGCAGUGGGGAAUUUUGGACAAUGGGCGAAAGCCUGAUCCAGCCAUUCCGCGUGCAGGAUGAAGGCCCUCGGGUUGUAAACUGCUUUUGUACAGAACGAAAAGGUUUCUACUAAUACUAGGAGCUCAUGACGGUACUGUAAGAAUAAGCACCGGCUAACUACGUGCCAGCCGCCGCCGUAA